GUAAUUAUUAACUCCAUAAAAAAAAAUUAAUUCCAACUCUAAGCUCCUUCUCUUUCUUUUUCCUUUUCAGGGUUCGAUGGCGGGUAUCAAGAGUUAGGACCACUGACGGCAGCUAAUGGACAAGGUUCUUCCCAAAGAGCCAGGACAAACAAAAGGCAGUAUGUCGACACCACAAAAACAAUCGACGAGAAAAAAAAGUGGAUACCUAACCUCGAAAUGAGCUCAAUUCAACGAGGGAUCCUGCACUGCAACACCAGGCGAGAAAACCGCGGAAUCUAAUUAUGUCGCCUCGUCGUCCGUCUGUCUGUCCGGAGUUUAUAGUGACGUCUAUAGGGAAGAUACCAAGUCACGCUGGUAUAGCAGUGACGGAAAAUCUGCGCCUCCCUCGAUGGAUUGGAUGGGCGAUGGUGUGGCUCUUUACUCCAAAAAUUCUGCCAGGACUUAAUUUUUAAGAUUUUUCUUAAUUUUCUUUGUAUUUAUUAAGUUUUGUUUCAAGCUUAAUUCAGUUUCGUUUUGUUUUAAUUUUAAUUCAUUUUCAUUUUGUUUAAACUUAAUUCAGUUUUGUUUUGUUUAAACUUUAAUUCAUUUUCAUUUUGUUUAAACUUAAUUCAGUUUUGUUUUGUUUAAACUUAAUUCAGUUUCAAGUCUUUCCUUUUUGUUUAAAAUUUUGCCAAACUUUAAGAUGUUUAUUUAGUUUUUGUAUAACUAUUAAGAAUACUUUCAGGUUUAGUUCUUAAAUGUUCACAUUUUAGCUUUUUAAAUUUUAU